UACGAAGGGGGCUAGCGUUGUUCGGAAUUACUGGGCGUAAAGCGCACGUAGGCGGAUAUUUAAGUCAGGGGUGAAAUCCCAGAGCUCAACUCUGGAACUGCCUUUGAUACUGGGUAUCUUGAGUAUGGAAGAGGUAAGUGGAAUUGCGAGUGUAGAGGUGAAAUUCGUAGAUAUUCGCAGGAACACCAGUGGCGAAGGCGGCUCACUGGACUGGUAUUGACGCUGAGGUGGCGAAAGCGUGGGGAGCAAACAGGG
rnacentral:rRNA from 1 species